rnacentral:rRNA from 1 species
AUUGAACGCUGGCGGCAGGCCUAACACAUGCAAGUCGAGCGGUAGAGAGAAGCUUGCUUCUCUUGAGAGCGGCGGACGGGUGAGUAAUGCCUAGGAAUCUGCCUGGUAGUGGGGGAUAACGUUCGGAAACGGACGCUAAUACCGCAUACGUCCUACGGGAGAAAGCAGGGGACCUUCGGGCCUUGCGCUAUCAGAUGAGCCUAGGUCGGAUUAGCUAGUUGGUGGGGUAAUGGCUCACCAAGGCGACGAUCCGUAACUGGUCUGAGAGGAUGAUCAGUCACACUGGAACUGAGACACGGUCCAGACUCCUACGGGAGGCAGCAGUGGGGAAUAUUGGACAAUGGGCGAAAGCCUGAUCCAGCCAUGCCGCGUGUGUGAAGAAGGUCUUCGGAUUGUAAAGCACUUUAAGUUGGGAGGAAGGGCAGUAAAUUAAUACUUUGCUGUUUUGACGUUACCGACAGAAUAAGCACCGGCUAACUCUGUGCCAGCAGCCGCGGUAAUACAGAGGGUGCAAGCGUUAAUCGGAAUUACUGGGCGUAAAGCGCGCGUAGGUGGUUCGUUAAGUUGGAUGUGAAAUCCCCGGGCUCAACCUGGGAACUGCAUUCAAAACUGACGAGCUAGAGUAUGGUAGAGGGUGGUGGAAUUUCCUGUGUAGCGGUGAAAUGCGUAGAUAUAGGAAGGAACACCAGUGGCGAAGGCGACCACCUGGACUGAUACUGACACUGAGGUGCGAAAGCGUGGGGAGCAAACA